AGUAAAAUGCCUGAAAAAGGACUAUUUUGAUAGAAUAGAACAUGUGAUUAAACACUUUUACU
rnacentral:tRNA from 1 species